rnacentral:rRNA from 1 species
GAUGAACGCUGGCGGCGUGCCUAAUACAUGCAAGUCGAGCGAACAGAUGAGGAUCUUGCUUCUCUGACGUUAGCGGCGGACGGGUGAGUAACACGUGGAUAACCUGCCUAUAAGACUGGGAUAACUUCGGGAAACCUGAUCUAAUACCGGAUAAUAUAUUGAACCGCAUGGUUCAAUAGUGAAAGACGGUUUUGCUGUCACUUAUAGAGGGAUCCGCGCCGCAUUAGCUAGUUGGUAAGGUAACGGCUUACCAAGGCAACGAUGCGUAGCCGACCUGAGAGGGUGAUCGGCCACACUGGAACUGAGACACGGUCCAGACUCCUACGGGAGGCAGCAGUAGGGAAUCUUCCGCAAUGGGCGAAAGCCUGACGCAGCCACGCCGCGUGAGUGAUGAAGGUCUUCGGAUCGUAAAACUCUGUUAUUAGGGAAGAACAAAUGUGUAAGUAACUAUGCACGUCUUGACGGUACCUAAUCAGAAAGCCACGGCUAACUACGUG